rnacentral:rRNA from 1 species
AGAUUGAACGCUGGCGGCGUGCCUAACACAUGCAAGUCGAGCGGUAACAGGUGUAGCAAUACAUGCUGACGAGCGGCGGACGGGUGAGUAACGCUUGGGAAUCUGCCUGAUAGUGGGGGACAACCCGGGGAAACUCGGGCUAAUACCGCAUACGCACUACGGUGGAAAGCCGGGGACCGCAAGGCCUGGCGCUAUCAGAUGAGCCCAAGUCGGAUUAGCUAGUUGGUAGGGUAACGGCCUACCAAGGCGACGAUCCGUAACUGGUCUGAGAGGACGACCAGUCACACCGGAACUGAGACACGGUCCGGACUCCUACGGGAGGCAGCAGUGGGGAAUAUUGGACAAUGGGCGAAAGCCUGAUCCAGCGACGCCGCGUGGUGAAGAAGGCCUGCGGUUGUAAACGGCCUUUCGGUGGGAAGAAAAGCCUCGAGUUAAUACCUCGGGUCUUGACGUAACCAUAGAAGAAGCACGGCUAACUCUGCACCAGCAGCGC